GCCUGGGUGGCUCAGUUGGUUAAGCAUCUGACUUUGGCUCAGGUCGUGAUCACGAGGUUCGUGGGUUCAAGCCCCACGUUGGGCU
rnacentral:tRNA from 1 species